CCAGACUCCUACGGGAGGCAGCAGUGAGGAAUAUUGGUCAAUGGGCGAGAGCCUGAACCAGCCAAGUCGCGUGAGGGAAGACGGUCCUAUGGAUUGUAAACCUCUUUUGCCGGGGAGCAAAAAGCGGUACGCGUACCGCAUCGAGAGUACCCGGAGAAAAAGCAUCGGCUAACUCCGUGCCAGCAGCCGCGGUAAUACGGAGGAUGCGAGCGUUGUCCGGAAUUACUGGGUGUAAAGGGAGCGUAGGCGGGCGAGAAAGUUGAAUGUUAAAUCUACCGGCUUAACUGGUAGCUGCGUUCAAAACUUCUUGUCUUGAGUGAAGUAGAGGCAGGCGGAAUUCCUAGUGUAGCGGUGAAAUGCGUAGAUAUUAGGAGGAACACCAGUGGCGAAGGCGGCCUGCUGGGCUUUAACUGACGCUGAGGCUCGAAAGCGUGGGGAGCAAACAGGAUUAGAUACCCCGGUA
rnacentral:rRNA from 1 species